rnacentral:rRNA from 1 species
AACGAACGCUGGCGGCAUGCCUAACACAUGCAAGUCGAACGAGACCUUCGGGUCUAGUGGCGCACGGGUGCGUAACGCGUGGGAACCUGCCCUUGGGUUCGGAAUAACUCAGAGAAAUUUGAGCUAAUACCGGAUAAUGUCUUCGGACCAAAGAUUUAUCGCCUUUGGAUGGGCCCGCGUAGGAUUAGCUUGUUGGUGGGGUAAUGGCCUACCAAGGCGACGAUCCUUAGCUGGUCUGAGAGGAUGAUCAGCCACACUGGGACUGAGACACGGCCCAGACUCCUACGGGAGGCAGCAGUGGGGAAUAUUGGACAAUGGGCAAGAGCCUGAUCCAGCAAUGCCGCGUGAGUGAUGAAGGCCUUAGGGUCGUAAAGCUCUUUUACCAGGGAUGAUGAUGACAGUACCUGGAGAAUAAGCUCCGGCUAACUCCGUGCCAGCCGCCGCGGUAA